AUUCUUUUUGGAGUAGGUUCAUGAAUAUGAUAAUUAGGUAUUUACCACUCUGUAACAUAUGCCGCCCACAAACCUUGUUACAACCACACUGGCACAUUAUCCAUCUAUUG
ensembl:snoRNA